rnacentral:rRNA from 1 species
CGCGUAGGCGGCCUUUUAAGUCGGAUGUGAAAGCCCGGGGCCUAACCCCGGAAGUGCAUUCGAUACUGAGAGGCUUGAGUAUGGGAGAGGGAAGUGGAAUUCCUGGUGUAGAGGUGAAAUUCGUAGAUAUCAGGAGGAACACCUGUGGCGAAGGCGACUUCCUGGACCAAUACUGACGCUGAGGCGCGAAGGCGUGGGGAGCAAACA